GGUUCAAUGCCACAUCGUAGAUAGCUAAGGGCAGUGGCCCACAAAGCUAUGAUUGGACCAAAAACAAGCCUUUCACAUCUUGAUAGGAAAUUGUUAUUUCUCAAUAGAUUUACAGAGCUGUUUCAUGUGAUUACAAUU
rfam:Cucumis sativus cultivar 9930 chromosome 7, whole genome shotgun sequence.